rnacentral:rRNA from 1 species
GGGAGUUUAAAGUUCCUGAAACCUUGUGCCUACAAAGUGUGGGAGCGUCUUUAUGGCGUGACCGCGUGCCUUUUGCAUAAUGAGUCUGCGAGUUAUUGUCAGUGGCAAGUCUAAGUCCUAAUGGGACGUAGGCGAAGCGAAAGCGAGUGUGAAUAGCGCGUCCAGUCGCUGGCGAUAGACCCGAAGCGGAGGUGAUCUAACCAUGAGCAGGUUGAAGCUGCAGUAACAUGCAGUGAAGGACCGAACCGGUGUGCGUUGAAAAGUGCUCGGAUGACUUGUGGUUAGGAGUGAAAGGCUAAUCAAACCCCGUAAUAGCUGGUUCUCUCCGAAAUAGCUUUAGGGCUAGCGUCGGGUGAGUACUCCGAGGAGGUAGAGCACUGAUAGGCUUAGGGUCCCUAACCGGAUACCAAAACCUGUUAAACUCCGAAUGCCUCGGAUCCAUUACCCCGGCAGUCAGUCGAUGAGUGAUAAGAUCCAUCGUCGAGAGGGAAACAACCCAGAUCACCGACUAAGGUGCCUAAAUACCGUUCAGUGGUAAGGAGGUGAAGUGACAUAGACAGUGAGGAUGUUGGCUUAGAAGCAGCCACCAUUUAAACAGUGCGUAACAGCUGACUCAUCGAGUUACUUCGCGCCGAAAAUGAUUGGCGAUCAAACGGUAUACCGACGUCGUGAAUGUCUUCGGACAUGGUAGGAGAGCGUAGUCUUUGCAUCGAAGCUGUUCUGUAAAGAGCGGUGGAGCGGAGACUAGCGAGAAUGCAGACAUGAGUAGCGAUAAACAAAGUGAGAAUCUUUGUCUCCGUAAACCUAAGGUUUCCUGGGCCAGGCUCGUCCUCCCAGGGUUAGCCGGGACCUAAGGCGAGGCCGAAAGGCGUAGUCGAUGGAUAACAGGUUAAUAUUCCUGUGCUAAUGCGCAACAUGGGACGCAUGGCAGAAAGGUGACACACACAAUGAUAUGUGAGUCUAGGCUUCGGCCGAAACACGUCACCCGCAGCUGUGCCGAGAAAACCGCGCAGGCCCGUACCGUAAACCGACACAGGUAGGUGAGUCGAAUAGACUAAGGAGCGCGAGAGAAAUCUCUCCAAGGAACUCGGCAAAUUAGCCCCGUAACUUCGGAAGAAGGGGUGCCCAUUUCGGUGGGCCACAGUAAAUUGGGACUGGCGACUGUUUACCAAAAACACAGCUCUCUGCAAAGUCGUGAAGACGACGUAUAGGGAGUGACACGUGACCAAUGCGAAAAGAUUAAGGUGACUUGUUAGCCCUUGAGGCGAAGCUCGGAGCCCAAGUCCUCGUGAAUGUCGGCCGUAACUAUAACGGUCCUAAGGUAGCGAAAUUCCUUGUCGGGUAAGUUCCGACCUGCACGAAUCGUGCAACGACCGGUCCGCUGUCUCGGAGAGAAUCUCGGCGAAGUUGUAAUUGCGGUGAAGAUGCCGCAUACCCGCAGUAGGACGGAAAGACCCUGUACACCUUUACUAUAAGCAAGUAUUGGCUUCUGAUUAGUGAUGCGUAGCGUAGGUGGGAGACUUUGAAGUGAUGGCUUAGGUUGUCAUGGAGUCGAAAUGUGAAACACCACUCUUUAUUAAUUAGGAUUCUAACAACGAUUUCUCUGAAGCGAGACGUUGAACAGUGCUUGCGGGUUAGUUUGACUGGGGCGGUUUCCUCCCAAAAAGUAACGGAGGAGCACUAAGGUACCUUCAGCAUGGUUAGCAACCAUGCGUCGAGCGUAUGCGUAGAAGGGUGCUUGACUGCGAGACCUACAAGUCGAGCAGGUACGAAAGUAGGUGCAAAUGAUCCGGUGGUAGAACGUGGAAUUGCCAUCGCUCAACGGACAAAAGGUACGUCAGGGAUAACAGGCU